AUGACUGUUUUCAAGAUACCAAAGCAAGUUUUGAAAGGUAUACAUGAUGCUAUAGCUAGAUAUUGGUGGGGUGAUGACCAAGAUAAGAAACGGUUGCACUGGAUGGCAUGCUGGAAAUUAUGCAUACCUAAACUAAGUGGAGGCAUGGGAUUUCGUGACUUACAUUGUUUUAAUCUAGCCAUGCUUGCUAAGCAAUGCCGGAGGUUGUUGGAGAGUCCGGAUUCCUUAUGUUCUUCUAUCCUAAGGACAGAAUAUUUUCCAGAUGGGAAUCUUUUCAAAGUGUAA
rnacentral:rRNA from 1 species